rnacentral:misc_RNA from 1 species
GAUGAAGAACGCAGCGAAAUGCGAUACGUAGUGUGAAUUGCAGAAUUCAGUGAAUCAUCGAAUAUUUGAACGCACAUUGCACCUCUCGGUAUUCCGGGAGGUAUGCCUGUUCGAGCGUCAUUUGUACCCUCAAGCUCUGCUUGGUGUUGGGUGUUUGUUCCGCCUCUGUGUGUGAACUCGCCUCAAAACAAUUGGCAGCCGGCGUACUUGUUUCGGAGCGCAGCACAUUUUGCGAUCCAGAUCAACGUACAGCGGCAUCCAAGAAGCCUUAUUUAACGCUCUUGACCUCGGAUCAGGUAGGGAUACCCGCUGAACUUAAGCAUAUCAAUAAGCGGAGGA